GCGUUGACAUUUGCGCCUCAUGUUGUGUUGUGGGCCCCUUGUCUCGAUCGGAGUCUGAAUUAUGGCCGGCCAACAGGCAAAACAAACAGAAAUCAAACGCAACAAAAGGCCGAGGACCGGGUAGACCGGAGUUUUCUGCCAUUUCUAUUGUGCGUGUGUGCCUUCUGUUUACACUCGUGUCGAUUGUCCCCCCCGUCGAUGUAGUAGCGUGAAAUAUCGCAACAAUGGCAUCAUAUAUUUCCCAAUACUCCUGGCCAGUACUCCUCCUCCAUCGGGCAUCGAACAUGAUGCAUGGGCGCCGCAUCUAACGGUGGACACAAAAAAACAAAAGACUUAAGCAACAAACUUUUUGGUCAAGCCAUGGGGACAAUCGAUUAGGGGAGUUGUUGCUGGGGGCGGGAGGAGAUUGCCAAAAAUUCCUCAACGAAAAGCCCAAGAAAAUUUCCACAGAAUAUCUGUCAAGAAAAGUAUUUGGAAAAAACGUCUGCCUCUCUCCGUGGAGUUCUCUUUUCCCAAGAUCUCUGAAGAUCUGUCUACAGGCUGUCGACCCUUUCACUUCACGCCACUCAAAAAUCGAAUGCCGAAUGUACGUGCCUGACCACACAAAAUGUGGCUUAAAAAACGGCAGCCAGCAGCGGCAUGAAAUCCCCACAAAACAAAUAGAAGAAACAAAAACAAAAAAACAAGAUUUAUUAUAUUAAAUGCAGGCAUUUAGCGCCACUUAAGCGGCCACUGUGCAACAGCAAGAGGCAGCCACAACAACAACAAAAAAGCCAAGCGAAGCCAAGCAGGAAGUCCACAUAAUUCUCAUCAAUAUCAAUAAUAGUUUUUGUUCAGCUUUCGUUUUUUGUCGUGUAAUGAUUGUUAUGUUUAUAUUUUUGUGGAGAACGUGGUUCAGUGGCAGGUUGGCAAGCGCCAGUGACAUUGCAGCAGGCGGCGCACAUCCAGAUCCACAUCCACAUCCAGGGAGCCCAUCAAAUAAUACUAAUAAUAACCAUAGUAAUAACAACAAGCAAUUUCAGCAAAAUGCAGCACGUCCUCGGCAACAAAUCGAAGCUGCAACAGCAGCCAACAGCCAGCAACUGCAACAUAAAACAGCAGGAGAGGCUGAGGCAGAGGAGGAGGCACUUCCAGUGGCAGUGGCACAAACAGGCUACUGUCUUGGGGCUUCCUGCUUGCCUAGCCGCAAAGUUAUUUUCAAAUUGAUUUGGAUCUAAAUUUAGUCGAGGGCCAUAGGAAUGAAUAUAAUCGUAAAAAGAAACUUUAUAGAAAUGAAUUGUGGAAGGAACAAGGAAGACAAAAAGAAAAUGAAGAGAUUGAAGUGAAAUGUUUUAGUAACUUAUGAAUUGUUAUGUCUUAAAUGAUAGGUAAAAGAA